rnacentral:rRNA from 1 species
GACGAACGCUGGCGGCGUGCUUAACACAUGCAAGUCGAACGGAAAGGCCCUGCUUGCAGGGUACUCGAGUGGCGAACGGGUGAGUAACACGUGGGUGAUCUGCCCUGCACUUCGGGGUAAGCCUGGGAAACUGGGUCUAAUACCGGAUAGGAGCCAUUUUUAGUGUGAUGGUUGGAAAGUUUUUUCGGUGUAGGAUGAGCUCGCGGCCUAUCAGCUUGUUGGUGGGGUAAUGGCCUACCAAGGCGGCGACGGGUAGCCGGCCUGAGAGGGUGGACGGCCACAUUGGGACUGAGAUACGGCCCAGACUCCUACGGGAGGCAGCAGUGGGGAAUAUUGCACAAUGGGCGCAAGCCUGAUGCAGCGACGCCGCGUGGGGGAUGACGGCCUUCGGGUUGUAAACUCCUUUCGCUAGGGACGAAGCUUUUUGUGACGGUACCUAGAUAAGAAGCACCGGCUAACUACGU